AGAACUCAGAAAAAAUAUAUAUUUACCUAUCAGAAAAUCAUCAUUAAAUAUGUUUAAAUUGCGAAAUAUAUAGUGAAAAAUUCAUCAAAAUUUCCAAAAUUUAGCAACUUUUCUUCUUCGACGACAACUUAAAUCUUAAAAAUAUUAUCUUAAUAAAGUAAUAAGUAGGUUUAAAAUACUGUUAUAUCAUGGUUGCUAAAUUCUUUUUUUUUUAAUGGUUAAUGGAUGCAGGUAAAUUUUCUAGAAUCAUAUUAUUCAUCCAAAAUGUUGUGUUUGUUUUGGAUCAAUUGAUUUCAGUUUUGGAGUUAACUUUCAAAUUGGUCCAUUUGGUAGGCCUGUGGUUGUUUAAAAACGUUCAAGUGCAGCCACCUGAACAAGUCAGGCCUACUACCCGUUGCGGUUAAGGUCUCUAA